AAAAUACUCCCUCCGUCGAAAAAAGCUUGUCCCAAGCUUAUCCCUCAAAUGGAUGUAUCUAGCACUAACUUGGUGCUAGAUACAUCCAUUUGAGGAACAAGCUUUUUCGGACAGAGGGAGUAAGAG
rfam:Triticum aestivum genome assembly, contig: Triticum_aestivum_CS42_TGACv1_scaffold_157885_2DL